AUCGCUUCUCAGCCUUUUGGCUAAGACCAAAGUUUGGUUUCUGUUCUUAUCGAGUUAACCUUCGAUAGAGGUUCGAACGAACCUUGCUAAGGUUAUUUGAUUUUUGGAAGCGGAUGGGUUUUGCGGGCUUGCUCGCAAACCAUCACGGGUCGGCCCAGCAUUGCACUGCUGCUGGGAUCGGCCCACCCCCA
rnacentral:snRNA from 1 species